GUUAUCACACACUUCGGGAGAAUCGUCGGAGACUGAUCUCGCACCCAUAUGUCUAUUGAACCCUUGUUGCUUCGGCGGGCCCGUCGUUAUACGGCCGCCGGAGGACCGACUCCAGGUCCUCUGGCCCGCGCCCGCCGGUAGCCAAAAUCACCAAACUCUUGAAUAAUCGUGUCUAUGAUGUCUGAGUACUUUUAUUAAAAUUAAGCAAAACUUUCAACAACGGAUCUCUUGGUUCUGGCAUCGAUGAAGAACGCAGCGAAAUGCGAUAAGUAAUGCGAAUUGCAGAAUUCCAGUGAGUCAUCGAAUCUUUGAACGCACAUUGCGCCCUUUGGUAUUCCGAAGGGCAUGCCUGUUCGAGCGUCAUUAUCACCCCUCAAGCCCUCCGGCUUGGUGUUGGACGGUCUGGUCGAGCUGCUCGACCCCUCCCAAAGACAAUGACGGCGGCCUGGUUGGACCCCCGGUACAUGGAGCUUCUUGAUUGAGCACGUAUCGGUUUCAAGGCGUCCCCGGGACCCGGUCUCACUCUCUCCCCUCGCGGGAGGGAACCCCCCUUUUUUCUAAGGUUGACCUCGGAUCAGUAGGAAUACCCGCUGAACUUAAGCAUAUCAUAAGCAGAGUGAAGUAAGUUGGGGUUUCGCACCACUUUCUCAUGAACUGUUGCUCCGGGCUCUUAUCGGCGAGCACUUCUGCCCCGCACACUGAAAGUUUAAGUGCAUUUUAUAAUUCAUCAUGGUCCUAGAGGGAAGGAUAUUACUUUAUACGGCUCUU
rnacentral:rRNA from 1 species